rnacentral:lncRNA from 1 species
UCGUACAUAUAAACGUGGAUUGCAUUUAUUUCAUUAAUAAUACUUGUACAUGGGAUCAUAUUUCAUAGCUAAAAGCAAGGAAAAAGAAAAAAAAAAAGAAAAAAAAAAGAGACAAAUUAAGUUAUACAAUCUUGCAGCCAACUUGUACUGCCUGAGAAUUAAGCAUUGAGUUAAUUCCUCCAAUCUGCAUCUUCCUUCCAAAAUACCCAAGAACCAGUCCA